CGCGGUAUAUUAACUGUGCAAAGGUAGCAUAAUAAUUAGUUUUUUAAUUGAAGACUUGAAUGAACGGUUGAACAAAGAAAAAGCUGUCUUUAAUAUUUUCUUUGAAUUUUACAUUUAAGUGAAAAGGCUUAAAUUAAUUUAAGGGACGAUAAGACCCUAUAAAUCUUUACAUUUAUUUAAUAUUUAUUAAUUAAGUUGUAAAUUUAUUAAUAUAUUGAAAUAUGUUAUAUUGGGGUGAUAGAGAUAUAAUAAAAAACUGUCUUAAUAAAAAACAUAAAUAAUUGAGCUUAAAUAGAAGAUCCUUCAUAAAGAUUAAAAGUUUAAGUUACUUUAGGGAUAACAGCGUAAUUUUUUUUGAGAGUUCAUAUCGAAAAAAAAGUUUGCGACCUCGAUGUUGAAUUAAAAUUUCUUUAUGAUGCAGAAGUCAUACAUAGAAAGUCUGUUCGACUUUUAAAUUUUUACGUGAUCUGAGUUCAGACC
rnacentral:rRNA from 1 species